rnacentral:lncRNA from 1 species
GGUAUUUUAACAGAAUUGUAACGUGUCCUUGAAUUACAAGGGAUUUAAAACUACAUCGACAAAAGUGACCAAAUUAAAAUUACGGAAACCAAAGUGAUAAAAUAGGUAAACUAAAACAGACAAACAAUGAGAUUUUGCUAAAAGAUAAUUAUGAAAUCAAUUCAUAACAAACUAUUUAAAAAAAAAAAAAAAGAGACAAAAACCAAAAAUAGCAAAUAAUAAGGAAAUUCAAAUACACAAAAUACUACUAGCUAUUAGCUAAUACUUGAUGCGACUAUUGUUUGACUUGGUUGCAGACUUGUUAGGGUAGACAGAGUCCUUGAACUUGACUUGGGUCUCACGCUCAAAGGUGUAGCCUUGCUCCUUGUCCACAUACUUUUGGUUGUGGGUGUACUUUUCCUCUUCCUUGUAACCCAUCUGCCCAGUGAGCUUGUCC